rnacentral:sRNA from 1 species
AGAUGGUAUCCUGUAAGUGACCUCGGCUCCCCAGAGCGCUGACCCCUAAGCCCUGCCACCCCCUGGACUGGAUCCCGGGCCUCCCCAACCCGAUCUUGGCCGCCUCUCCCGCGGCCCCAUUUUCCUUCGAAGGAGGGAAGAUUUCAACACUACACUUGCACAAUGUCUUUGAAACCAAGAGUAGUAGAUUUUGAUGAAACAUGGAACAAACUUUUGACGACAAUAAAAGCCGUGGUCAUGUUGGAAUACGUCGAAAGAGCAACAUGGAAUGACCGUUUCUCAGAUAUCUAUGCUUUAUGUGUGGCCUAUCCUGAACCCCUUGGAGAAAGACUUUAUACAGAAACUAAGAUUUUUUUGGAAAAUCACGUUCGGCAUUUGCAUAAGAGAGUUUUGGAGUCAGAAGAACAAGUACUUGUUAUGUAUCAUAGGUACUGGGAAGAAUACAGCAAGGGUGCAGACUAUAUGGACUGCUUAUAUAG